rnacentral:rRNA from 1 species
GUCCCACCUCUUCCCAUCCCGAACAGAGAAGUUAAGCCCUGCAGCGCCGAUGGUACUGGGGUUACUCCCGGGAGAGUAGGCCGCCGCCUUAU